CGUUCUGCAGGUGAGAGGGGAGUAUCCUGUGCACUGUCUGUGUCUGGCUGCAGGACCUCUGCUGUAUCUGGGGUGCUCUGCAGCUGAGGGGGAGAAGGAGCUGGAUUCUCAGGAGGCUCCUCCAUGUCUCCUUCUGAGUCUGCUGCUCCUGGGUCUGCUGCUGUUACUCCCGAGUCAUCCUCAUCUGAGGAGUCCUCUGAUGGGGCCAUGACAGGGUCAACGUGCUGAUGGGAGGGACAGAAAUAAAAGCCAAAGGCAAGGAACAGAAGCAGGGUUCAGACUGAAGGCACAGAAGGCUAGAUAAAGUCAAGGGCAUCCUCUGACUUUGGAGCAUAGCCACUUAUUCUGUGUGUUCUAUCGUACUUCAUUUGGAUUGCACCACUGAAGAAAAGGAUUGUGGAGUUGUACUGCACUGGUGAAAGAGAAGGUUUGGGUGCAGAAUUCAGCAUCCUUAGAUCAAAGUACUACAUAAUCACUUCAAUUUUCUUCCCCGAGCGAUAAGACUUGACUAUAAAACCAGCAGUUUAAACACUCAGCCAGUUCUCCAUGUUUUAUCCUGGCCUUAUCUCCAGUCAUCAUCAGGCACCUGCUCUCCAUAUAACAUCAAGAUUUCUUAUGUUUUACAAUCAGAUACCAGUGCAAGCAGAUAUGAACAAAAUUUAACAAAAAUAAACAAGGGAACAAAAUCUCUCAGGAUAGAUAUCCCCAAAAUUAAUUCAGUGCGCUGUCCAGCUAACCAGAAAAUGGACCAUUUUACCUGUCUCUAUAAUAACUACUACAACUAAACACUUCUCCAAAUCUGCCAGGCUUCUAUGGAUGGGCAAUGAACAAAUGA